UACGUAGGGUGCGAGCGUUGUCCGGAAUCACUGGGCGUAAAGGGCGCGUAGGCGGCCCGCGCAAGCGUGCGGUGAAAGCCCGGGGCUCAACCCCGGGUCGGCCGUGCGGACUGCGGGGCUCGAGCACUGUAGGGGCAGAUGGAAUUCCGGGUGUAGCGGUGGAAUGCGUAGAGAUCCGGAAGAACACCGGUGGCGAAGGCGGUCUGCUGGGCAGUAGCUGACGCUGAGGCGCGACAGCGUGGGGAGCAAACAGG
rnacentral:rRNA from 1 species